CCGUCUCUCAAGUGCUCGGCCAGCCUCGGUUGCACCAUUUCCAUUCCAUAUCGUUUGAUCACACCACCCCUCCAGCUGCCCGCUCUCCCACCAAAGGACUCGCUGCAUCGAGAUCCGGUGGUUCGCACUCAUCAGAGUUUGAGAAAUGGAAUUGGCAAUAACUUGGAAUUGAAUGAAAAUGAAUAGCAGAUAUAGCUACUAAUAAUGGUGGAGCUGCCAUGUUCGAACGAUGAGGCUAUAAUGAGGAAAUUGAUAUAUAUCUGUAGAUUCUUUUCCGUUCUUCAUCAUCUCACAAAUGUUCCUCAACAAAUUCAUGCCUUUCUAUUGUAAUCUAUUUAUCCACACCUCUACACAUAGAUCUAGUGAAACUUCGUAAACAUGAGGUUACCUAAGAAUAUUUCCAUACAUCUUUACAAAUUAUGUUUGAAAAAAAUUUAAACCCAACACGAUUAUUAGAUUGGAGAA